GAGUAUAUAAUGUAAUUAUUUAAUGGGGUAUGAAUGUAAAGGGGUAUAUGUUUGCAAUUAUUUUGCUUUAUGGUAUUUGCUUAGUUUCCCCUAAAUUCAAUCCAGCAACAUACACAUACGACAUCAUUACCUUAACGUUGUCUUUUCCUCGACAGCAACACGUACCAGACGAACCAGUUCCUUCACCUUUAGUCUUCUUUAGCCCAGCUGUGUGUAUUGCUCAAGACAUGUCUACAUGUUCUUUUAU
rnacentral:lncRNA from 1 species